GUCCAGGGAUGGGAAACGAACCCACAAUGUUCCGCUUACUGGGCAGAUGCCAUGUCCACUAGGCUACCCUGGA
rnacentral:tRNA from 1 species